AACUAUCUUGUAUGCCGCAGCAGUCAAUGUGGUGCGCCCAGCAAAAAACAACUUGGAAAUCAUAUGAGUUACAGUGCUUAUCUUUUCGUAGCUUUGCGAAACGUAUGGUUCAUGAGAACAGCCUGAGAAAGUAGGUAUUCAGGGCCUUAAAAUACAAAAGCAAAGCAUACUGUGAGAUAUAACAUUCAAAUCCAGAGUCAGAUGAAGAUUGCAGCCCAUCCAUCCUCAUGUCAUACCACUCUGUCAACCGCUCAAGUGUGAAAGUGGUUAUCACCAAUAAUGUGCCUAUGUGUGUUGACAAUUCACAAGAUGUUCCUUUGAUGGAAAUGAAAGGCUGACUGAUCUGAAAUAAUAACUAGCCUUCUGCAGGAAUGCUGCAGAUUGAUGGUGCUGAUAUCAGUGUGCCAUGGAGUGGAAAAGCAAAUUAUGACUCAGCAUAUUGGGUGAAAUUGGGGAAUCUGCACCUGAACAUGAUUACUGUAUAAUGACAGGACCACAGUUGGAAAGGAGAUACAGUUGUUAGCAUUCCUGUUAACAACUUUGUCUUCACGUGUUAACAGCUUCACUCUUAUGUGCUCCUGAAAAAUUUCUUCUGUUAUCUGUGGCAUGGAUUUAACUACGCUACAACCAGGGUUCUCCUCAUCUUUAAGUCCUGUUGCAUUAACGUGUCUUGGAUUCAUGAUAGAAGAACAUAGAGAUUGUGUCUGCACUUAUC